rnacentral:rRNA from 1 species
UACGUAGGGGGCUAGCGUUGUCCGGAAUCAUUGGGCGUAAAGAGCGUGUAGGCGGCCCGAUAAGUCCGCUGUGAAAGUCCAGGGCUCAACCCUGGAAUGCCAGUGGAAACUGUCGGGCUGGAGUCCGGAAGAGGCGAGUGGAAUUCCUGGUGUAGCGGUGAAAUGCGCAGAGAUCGGGAGGAACAUCAGUUGCGAAGGCGGCUCUCUGGACCAGCACUGACACUGAGGCACGAAAGCGUGGGGGAGACAAGCAGGU